AGUUGGAGGUAAACGCUGUGAACUGAAACAUCUCAUUAGCAGCAGGAAUAUAAAGAAAUUUCGAUUCCCUAAGUAGCGGCGAGCGAACGGGGAACAGCCCAAACCAAAGUGCUUGCACUUUGGGGUUGUAGGACUGAACAUUUGAGUUACCAAAGAACUUGAUAGUCGAAGGAUUUGGGAAAAUCCGCCAUAGAUGGUGAUAGCCCAGUAGAUUAAAUCAAAUUCUCUCAGUUCAGGAUCCUGAGUACGGCGGAACACGUGAAAUUCCGUCGGAAUCCGGGAGGACCAUCUCCCAAGGCUAAAUACUACCUAGUGACCGAUAGUGAACCAGUACCGUGAGGGAAAGGUGAAAAGCACCCCGGGAGGGGAGUGAAAUAGUUCCUGAAACCAUGUGCCUACAAUAAGUCAGAGCGCGUUAAUGCGUGAUGGCGUGCCUUUUGUAGAAUGAACCGGCGAGUUAUGAUCCCGUGCAAGGUUAAGACUAAAAAGUCGGAGCCGUAGCGAAAGCGAGUCUGAAAUGGGCGUUUUGAGUACGAGGUUAUAGACCCGAAACCAGGUGACCUAUCCAUGUCCAGGUUGAAGGUGCGGUAAAACGCACUGGAGGACCGAACCCGUGUAAGUUGAAAAUUGCUGGGAUGAGGUGUGGAUAGCGGUGAAAUUCCAAACGAACUUGGAGAUAGCUGGUUCUCUCCGAAAUAGCUUUAGGGCUAGCCUCGGAAUUAGGAUCAUGGAGGUAGAGCACUAUUUGGACUAGGGGCCCGUCUUGGGUUACUGAAUUCAGAUAAACUCCGAAUGCCAUUGAUUCAUAUCCGGGAGUCAGACGAUGAGUGAUAAGAUCCACCGUCGAAAGGGGAACAGCCCAGACCAUCAGUUAAGGUCCCUAAAUGUAUGCUAAGUGGAAAAGGAUGUGGAGUUGCAUAGACAACUAGGAUGUUGGCUCAGAAGCAGCCACCAUUUAAAGAGUGCGUAAUAGCUCACUAGUCGAGUGAUCCUGCGCCGAAAAUGUACCGGGGCUAAGCAUACUACCGAAACCAUGGAUGCGACCAUUAGGUCGCGUGAUAGGAGAGCGUUCUAAGGGCGGUGAAGCAAGAUCGUGAGGACUUGUGGAGCGCUUAGAAGUGAGAAUGCCGGUAUGAGUAGCGAAAGAUAGGUGAGAAUCCUAUCCACCGAAUGACUAAGGUUUCCUGGGGAAGGCUCGUCCUCCCAGGGUUAGUCGGGACCUAAGUCGAGGCCGAGAGGCGUAGACGAUGGAUAACAGGUUGAGAUUCCUGUACUAGUUAAGUGCGUUUGAGCAAUGGAGGGACGCAGGAGGCUAAGAUGUGCAUUCUGUUGGAUUAGAAUGUCCAAGCAGUAAGUCUUGUGAAGAGUCAAAUGCUUUUCACUUUAAGGACAAGCUGUGAUGGGGAGCGAAAUUUAGUAGCGAAGCGUCUGAUGUCACACUGCCGAGAAAAGCUUCUAGUGAGUACUUAACUACCCGUACCGCAAACCGACACAGGUAGUCGAGGAGAGAAUCCUAAGGUGAGCGAGUGAACUCUCGUUAAGGAACUCGGCAAAAUGACCCCGUAACUUCGGGAGAAGGGGUGCUGAUCGCAAGAUCAGCCGCAGUGAAUAGGCCCAGGCGACUGUUUAUCAAAAACACAGGUCUCUGCAAAAUCGUAAGAUGACGUAUAGGGGCUGACGCCUGCCCGGUGCUGGAAGGUUAAAAGGAUGGGUUAGCUUCGGCGAAGCUCAGAAUUGAAGCCCCAGUAAACGGCGGCCGUAACUAUAACGGUCCUAAGGUAGCGAAAUUCCUUGUCGGGUAAGUUCCGACCCGCACGAAAGGCGUAACGAUCUGGGCACUGUCUCAACGAGAGACUCGGUGAAAUUAUAUUGUCCGUGAAGAUGCGGACUACCCGCGACAGGACGGAAAGACCCCAUGGAGCUUUACUGUAGCUUGAUAUUGAGUGUUUGUACAGCUUGUACAGGAUAGGUAGGAGCCAUAGAAACCGGAACGCUAGUUUCGGUGGAGGCGUUGGUGGGAUACUACCCUCGCUGUAUGACCACUCUAACCCGCACCACUAAUCGUGGUGGGAGACAGUGUCAGGUGGGCAGUUUGACUGGGGCGGUCGCCUCCUAAAAAGUAACGGAGGCGCCCAAAGGUUCCCUCAGAAUGGUUGGAAAUCAUUCGCAGAGUGUAAAGGCACAAGGGAGCUUGACUGCGAGACAGACAGGUCGAGCAGGGACGAAAGUCGGGCUUAGUGAUCCGGUGGUACCGUAUGGAAGGGCCAUCGCUCAACGGAUAAAAGCUACCCUGGGGAUAACAGGCUUAUCUCCCCCAAGAGUCCACAUCGACGGGGAGGUUUGGCACCUCGAUGUCGGCUCAUCGCAUCCUGGGGCUGUAGUCGGUCCCAAGGGUUGGGCUGUUCGCCCAUUAAAGCGGUACGCGAGCUGGGUUCAGAACGUCGUGAGACAGUUCGGUCCCUAUCCGUCGCGGGCGUAGGAAAUUUGAGAGGACCUGUCCUUAGUACGAGAGGACCGGGAUGGACAUACCUCUGGUGUACCAGUUGUGCCGCCAGGCGCAUCGCUGGGUAGCUACGUAUGGAUGUGAUAAACGCUGAAAGCAUCUAAGUGUGAAACACACCUCGAGAUGAGAUUUCCCAUUCCUUUAUGGAAGUAAGACCCCUGAAAGAUGAUCAGGUAGAUAGGUUAGAAGUGGCAGUGCGGUGACGCAUGAAGCGGACUAAUACUAAUCGGUCGAGGACUUAACCAA
rnacentral:rRNA from 1 species